rnacentral:misc_RNA from 1 species
GAAUGUUCCCUAUUGACUCCUUGAUUCGAAUCUGUGGAAAAACCUAAACUAACAGAAGUACUACAAUGACCAACUACACAUUUAUCGUGCACAAUCACUGCAUCCUCCUUCGGGACUGACGUUCCACCAUCAUGUAUAAUACCAGGGCGAUUUCCUUUUGAAUGCCAAAGAGACGAUUUAAGAUCCUCAUUUUUAACAGCCAAUGAAGACUGACUGUCUGGAUGACAAGUAGAAGUUCCUUGAGAUGAUCCUCCAACCCAACCAUGCAGCGAAAACUUUGAAC